CACACUGGGACUGAGACCGGUCCAGACUCCUACGGGAGGCAGCAGUGGGGAAUAUUGCACAAUGGGCGAAAGCCUGAUGCAGCAACGCCGCGUGAGGGAUGACGGCCUUCGGGUUGUAAACCUCUUUUAGCAGGGAAGAAGCGAAAGUGACGGUACCUGCAGAAAAAGCGCCGGCUAACUACGUGCCAGCAGCCGCGGUAAUACGUAGGGCGCAAGCGUUAUCCGGAAUUAUUGGGCGUAAAGAGCUCGUAGGCGGUUUGUCGCGUCUGCUGUGAAAUCCCGAGGCUCAACCUCGGGCCUGCAGUGGGUACGGGCAGACUAGAGUGCGGUAGGGGAGAUUGGAAUUCCUGGUGUAGCGGUGGAAUGCGCAGAUAUCAGGAGGAACACCGAUGGCGAAGGCAGAUCUCUGGGCCGUAACUGACGCUGAGGAGCGAAAGGGUGGGGAGCAAACAGGCUUAGAUACCCUGGUAGUCCACCCCGUAAACGUUGGGAACUAGUUGUGGGGUCCAUUCCACGGAUUCCGUGACGCAGCUAACGCAUUAAGUUCCCCGCCUGGGGAGUACGGCCGCAAGGCUAAAACUCAAAGGAAUUGACGGGGACCCGCACAAGCGGCGGAGCAUGCGGAUUAAUUCGAUGCAACGCGAAGAACCUUACCAAGGCUUGACAUAUACGAGAACGGGCCAGAAAUGGUCAACUCUUUGGACACUCGUAAACAGGUGGUGCAUGGUUGUCGUCAGCUCGUGUCGUGAGAUGUUGGGUUAAGUCCCGCAACGAGCGCAACCCUCGUUCUAUGUUGCCAGCACGUAAUGGUGGGAACUCAUGGGAUACUGCCGGGGUCAACUCGGAGGAAGGUGGGGAUGACGUCAAAUCAUCAUGCCCCUUAUGUCUUGGGCUUCACGCAUGCUACAAUGGCCGGUACAAAGGGCUGCAAUACCGUGAGGUGGAGCGAAUCCCAAAAAGCCGGUCCCAGUUCGGAUUGAGGUCUGCAACUCGACCUCAUGAAGUCGGAGUCGCUAGUAAUCGCAGAUCAGCAACGCUGCGGUGAAUACGUUCCCGGGUCUUGUACACACCGCCCGUCAAGUCAUGAAAGUCGGUAACACCUGAAGCCGGUGGCCUAACCCUUGUGGAGGGAGCCGUCGAAG
rnacentral:rRNA from 1 species